ACGGUGAACUAUAUGUUAUCCACAUUACUGCAACACUAAGCUUCAUGCAUUUUUAUAUUGCUGAGAAGUUAAGCUGUAAAGACGAAUUGUGGAGAUCCGGAGUUUUAUCACUGUAUCCCUAACCAGUAAAACGUGCCAGGGGAGAUCUGUGUCAAACCAAACUGGGCCUCAAAAAAUUACUGUCCCAUUUUCAAUACGGCUGCCAAUGACAUUGAUCUCAUUCCCUGUGACCUUCGGUAUGGAGCAUGCUCAGACACGGAUUACAGAUCUAAUAAAGUCUAUCUAUGUUAGUACAUCGACUAAUCAAGUGAUAAUAAUUUCAAGAGUUUAUGAGUGUAUAAGUUGGUGAUUUAUUAUCCAAAUAAUUAAUCUAUUUAUUAUAAGUUAACUAUUCACAUUAUAAAUAUGUUCAUUGGAAAUUUUGAUGAGUCACACUACAAAAUAGUCAA